rnacentral:rRNA from 1 species
GAGGAAUAUUGGUCAAUGGGCGAGAGCCUGAACCAGCCAAGUCGCGUGAAGGAUGACUGUCUUAUGGAUUGUAAACUUCUUUUAUACGGGAAUAACAAGAGUCACGUGUGGCUCCCUGCAUGUACCGUAUGAAUAAGCAUCGGCUAACUCCGUGCCAGCAGCCGCGGUAAUACGGAGGAUGCGAGCGUUAUCCGGAUUUAUUGGGUUUAAAGGGUGCGUAGGCGGCCUGUUAAGUCAGCGGUGAAAUCUAGGAGCUUAACUCCUAAAUUGCCAUUGAUACUGGCGGGCUUGAGUGUAGAUGAGGUAGGCGGAAUGCGUGGUGUAGCGGUGGAAUGCAUAGAUAUCACGCAGAACUCCGAUUGCGAAGACAGCUUACUAAGGUACAACUGACGCUGAAGCACGAAAGCGUGGGUAUCAAACAGGAUUAGAUACCCUGGUAGUCCACGCAGUAAACGAUGAUAACUGGGCGUAUGCGAUAUACAGUAUGCUCCUAAGCGAAAGCGUUAAGUUAUCCACCUGGGGAGUACGCCGGCAACGGUG